GCAUCAAUGAGGUAGUGGUAACCUGGGUCGUUGCCAUAUGUGUGUCUAAAUAAUCGCUAUCGACCCGCCGAGGGUUCGAUUCCCCUCCGAUGUA